GGGGGUAUAGCUCAGUUGGUAGAGCGCCGCCUUUGCAAGGCGGAUGCCAGCGGUUCGAGUCCGCUUACCUCCA
rnacentral:tRNA from 2 species